UCAUGCUUGCCUUGAUUUGCCUAAAAUUGGAAUGACUCAGAGAAGAUUAUCAGGGUCCUUGCAAAGAAUGACAUGAAUGACAUAAAACUUCAGGAAGCACUC
rnacentral:snRNA from 1 species